rnacentral:rRNA from 1 species
UACGAAGGGGGCUAGCGUUGCUCGGAAUUACUGGGCGUAAAGCGCACGUAGGCGGCUUUCUAAGUCGGAGGUGAAAUCCUGGAGCUCAACUCCAGAACUGCCUUCGAUACUGGAGAGCCUGAGUCCGGGAGAGGUGAGUGGAACUGCGAGUGUAGAGGUGAAAUUCGUAGAUAUUCGGAAGAACGCCAGUGGCGAAGGCGGCUCACUGGCCCGGUACUGACGCUGAGGUGCGAAAGCGUGGGGAGCAAACAGG